GCCAUGUGUAGUUUGUCAGACCUGGUACCCUCCUGCAGCCAGGGGAUAGGCCUGCACCAGAUCAGUGUUGUUGCCCUCCAGGCCUCAACACUGACUCAGCCUUAAUAAGAGAGGAGUUCCAGACUCAUUGACUUCUGCAGGACAGUGUAAAGGACUCAGCCCUAGUGAAACUGUUGUCUCCAAUCUCAGCCUUUGGUUUGAGGUAAACACACAUAACAUACUUCCUUUCCCAGAUGACAUUUUGCUCUUGUGAAGGCUGUUGUACUGACAACCAGCUUUGAUCAGGAAUAAACUCUUUGUGAAGAGUGCCAAAUAUGCUGUCCUGGCAGUCUGCCCAAAGCCAGCUUUGCUGAAAUUUGCCUUAAAGAGAAGAUAUGGAAGUCUCCACACACUUAUGGCAAGUCUGUGAUGGAAACGUUCCAGACAAAGAGAUCAAGGCCUGUGCAGCAGUAGGGCGGAUGCAUGGGGAGGGAGCCCCAUGCCUGGAUGCAGGUGGCAGACUCUGGCACCAGACUUAUAGGAGCAGCUGGAGGCUGAAAAAAGUACGGCGUCUGGCACCCUGUGGCAGACCCCAAACAGAUGAGGCAAUGCAUUUCCACAAGACAUUGGAGGCACCAGUGCUGCUCCGCUGGGCAGAGGCCCAUCCUUUCAUGGCUGGCAGGAAUGACAAAAGAAGUGAGGAGUCCUUCCCCUUGUGAACACCAGGAGGUGGCGGCUGCUGAGAGGAAAGCCCAUUCAUGAUACUGAACCUGCUUCAGUAACUGAUACACGGGAUACUGAACCUGCUUCCACUGCUGUUCCACCUUCAUGACGUCAGCCCUGGGUCUGCCACGUUCUUCACCAAUGAAGCACAUCCUUACCGUGGUCCAAUGAAGCACAUCCUUACUGUGGUCCUGGAGGGAAGAGGGGUGUCCUGGUGGGGUGGACUCCACUCAGGGCCCUGCCACACACCUGCACCCCAGGCAGUAGCCCUGGGCACAGCUGGCGGAGCCGCUCACACCCCUGGCCACCAGCCAGGCCUUCACCACCAGCAGCACAAAGCACUUCAGAGUCUUCACAGUUUGUAGUCACAUAACUAAUACAAAUUUACUGCUUAAUUACGUCCCAGUGAGAGAGCCUUUCUCUCCACAGAAAAUAUUAUUGAUAUCCGACAGGGCUAGUGCUGGAGGGAGGGCAGAGAGGGCAGUGGAAAUCUGCACUCCAUAAGAAAUUCUUGGAACAGGUCUUUUUUUUUACCCUCUUCUGUUUUAAGUGAUCAAUAGUUGCUUAAUUAAAAUUCAGCAACUGUAAUGCAAGUUUAAAUACAAGGUAACAAUUGUCAAUUAAUUAACAGCCACUUGAUUCAAAGCAUUUGAAGGCUGGUAACUUUGCAACUAAUUUUAUGUUUCGUAAUUCCUGUUCUCCAAUAUUGUUUGCAAAAACCAAUUGACACUUAAUUAACCUUAUGCCGUUGUCCCAUUAAAUCAAAACAAAAAGUACUUAGGACAUUCAAUUCAAUCUUUUAACAACCCUGUUAAGCGAAAUAGCCAAAGCCCCAACCACAUCUUCUUAAUGAAAUUUCUUGAAGGCACAUUCUGUCCCCAGCUUCUGGUAAAAUGGAGAUGAGUCAGAUAUCUCCUAAGGGAAAAAGAAGGGCACUGUUGUCUCAUGAAGCAGUUCCUGUACAGUUUGAAGAGUUGUUGGUUGUAUGCUGGAGAUCUUGUUGCCAUGAUCUCUACAGAGCGGAACAACACUCUCCCCUUCUGCUGUUGCAGAAAGUAAACGAAAUGAAAAAAGAAAUCACAAUGGGGCAUCUUACUGUCUUACUCUCUGUACUGAAGAGCAACACCAAAUAUUGUCAGCCACCAGAUUCUACCUUUAAAGCUAUAAACAAAUAAAUCAAUCUGCAAUCCACUAGAUAAUGGGAAUAAGAAGCCAUGACCAUGGCAAGGGCAUCACAGCCAAGAUUGUCUCACUUACAGGACACUGAAAUAACAAAUUAAAUGGAUCUCUGCAACACAAAAUGUAAGCAGGCAAAUGUAACGUAAUUCAAGUUAAGGGUAAUAAAAGAUGGUGCACCUCAGGCGUGAUCCCAGCACAUGAGAUCUGGCAGCCACCUGACCUCACAUUUACAUUUGUCUGCUAAAGUAUAUGAUGGAAAAUUUGAGGUGGUCAUGAGGACUAUGACUGAGCUGCUGGUCUGGAGACAGACUGCAUGGUACAUUUCACACCUCUCGCUUUCACUGUGGCCUGGACAGCAGUCCCACCAGGCUCAUCUAAAGGAUGAACAAACCUUCUGCCAAACCAGUUCAAAUUUACCCCAUGAGGGGUUCAUGACCACUCACUGACCCCUGCAUGGCUGCACACCAGCUCUUCAGCAUGACCCAAUUUCUCUACAGGGAACCUCCUAUUUCUGCACCACGCUUCCUUCCUAUGAGCCAUGGUCACUGAGGUCAGAGAAGGACGUCACCUCCCUUCAGUGUUGAGGGAAACAGCUCCCAUUUCACUUCAAGCUGAGGCUGACUUAGGGACAGAUUUUAGCCUCGGGUCUCUCUCCGCCUCUUCUUCCCAUUUAUUUUGACCUUCUGGUCAAAUGGUGGGAUGCAGCUAGGUUCCACGUAGGAGAAAGCUGCCAGUGCACCCACGCAUGAAAGACUCUGGGAAUGCAGAGGACCAUGUAGCAAGUAGUAAGCCUCAUUACAGAGGUGCACAUGUCUUCAUGGUUUCAUUCAUAUAAAGUCUAUGAGGAUAUCUGGAGGCAUUUAUUUCAGUGGAGAGAACAAGGUGUGCUCAAAAGGCAUACCUGAAAAUAACAUUUAGUUGUAUUUUUCAACUCAUUUGAUUAUCUCAGCAUGAGUGGCUGCGACUGGAGUGGGUUUGGAUUAACUGACCCAAACCUUUUUCCCUGUGCUGUAUUUUGUAUUUUAAGCAUGUAUUAAGGAAUCAUCAUUAGCCAAGGUUUAGGCAGUACAUGUGAUCUAAUUCUUAACAAAUCUGAGUACACCUUAAAUAACAAUGACUAAGACAUCCUUCCUAAGUUCUAUUUCCACUCAUCUAUAAAAUAAGUAUAAACACUGUCUGUCUGUCUGUCUGUCCCUCAAGGAAGAAAAAAGUUAGUGUCUUUCUUUCAUUUUUACAUUUUGGAUGAUAUCUCAGUCCCUAUUGAUGGUUAUUGUUAUUCUUCCUUAUUAUUUCAGGCUUGUCAUGCUUUGCUUAGACACAUAUUUGAUAGUCUCUCUUUUCAAGGGUAUACAUAUGAUUACAAGUUUAUUUUCACAAAAUAUAUGGAGUGGUUAUCUCUACUAAAUACCAAAACAGCAUUCAAUCAGGAGAAUUAAGCCUGUGAAAGAGAUGUUAAGCCAAUGUCAAAGAUCUUCUAGGAAGACAGAAAUUCUAUGCAAUAACAACAUGGUUGGAUUAACUUUACAACAAAAGGAAAUUAGACUGGAUUUCUACAGAGUCAGUUUUGUUAUUCUAGCUAACAAUAUGAUUAACAUUGAAUGAAUGGUAAAGGCCCCAUUCAUGCUUCACUUAGCCCAAAUUAAUGUGACUGAUUACCCAGUCCUUCUGCUCUGGCAGAAAAUCUCACAUCUCCUAGGCCUUGAUUAUCCAGAGCGUCUCACUUUUAAGAGGACUGACCCCAGCAAGAAGGAAACAGUAGCUGAAGUCUUUGAAGCUUUUGCACUUCAUUGCCUUUCCUCUCAACAACCAGCUCCAAAUUCUUCCUUACGGGUGUAAAAGUCUAUGGCCCCUGUUAGUGAAGAAGAUCCAACCAGACUCUCUCACAGGCACACAGGUGUUAUUACAAUAAUUCCAGGAACUGUUCCUUCGUCAAGGUUGUUCAUUUUGUUGUUAAAUGAUUCCCACACUUCAUGUUGCCAAUUACCAGACCAUCCUAGAUGGAUAGUAGGUCUGUGCUUGGGAUUAGCUGCCUGCCUUCCCAAAGGAGUUUGCCUGAAUCCCCCCAAGAGCUGUAAAUUAAGCUGCUGAGGAGUAACCCCUUUCUGCCAAGCACCUGAGGAACCUGAGAAGACCAUAUGGGCUGUGAAAAUGACAAUAUGCAAAUCAAGUGCUGUUUGUGUUCACUGUGAGAAAACAGGUCGGUGCAAACUGACACCAAUUUUAGCGUGAUGAAGGCUGCAGGAAAAAUGCAAGACAUACAUUUACCCUGAGAGGCAGGAGACCAGGUGGAGGUAGAUAAUCCCCCAUUCCUUCCACUCUCUCUGCCCCUUUAUAUCACUGAUGCUCUCUCAUUGGGGACAAAACAUAAUCAACAUGGAGAUCUUUGAAUUUUUCUUCUCUUCAUUCUCCCCUAGGUACACUACAGAUCUGGUAGCGUUUGAAAUCAACACCCACCCCAACCAAAAGAAAUCUUUAGCUACAUUUAUGGAACUUAUGGAACUUGCUGGUAAACUGAAUUCUUUAUGCUGUAACACACCUGUUUUGUUUCAUGGCUGAUUCACAAAAAAGAUGCUACAUACACAGUUACACUGCACUGCCAAGGUGCUCACCAGGGUGUUGGCAUGGACCAGUGGGGAUCUUAUUGACCACGCAUCAGCUUCUGUCUCUUUAGCCAUCAAAAUACUGACCAUGCUCUCUUAAAUGUCAGUUUUAUUCAUUUAUGGUGAAUGAAGCUGCUGGCACAUAAAAUAGCAGUUAACAUCUUAGUUUUAAUAUAACUUAGAAGUAUGCAAUACUUACUACUUGCUAUAACUUACCUUGAAGUAGGCUUUUUAAAAUGUGGAUUCAAAGCACUUGAUUUAUUAUUUUUAUUUAUUUAUUUAUUACAACUGCCUCUAAUCUACCAAAGCACCGAGAGCACCAAAUCUCUUGCUCGACCGAGGGCAAAUAAGCCCUGGGCUCCAUUCCUAUAAGCCCUACGUACCUAUAUGGAUAAAUGAAAGUCAGCACAUAAACUCUGGCAGGAUUGCCAGUGCCACGUUGAGGGCAAAGCAAGAGAGGUGGCUGACCCAAGCAACACCUGAAGGGUAGCAAAUGGAAACAUAUGCACUGAGUCAAACAAGCUGCAGCUUACCUGGCUGCCAGUACUGCCCGACAAGGUACUGGGAUGGGAGCACUGGAGAUACUACUUGAGAGCCAGGGGAAGACACUGGUGGUCCGCAGGUGGAAGACAAAUAGAGCAGGACUGAUAGCCAGAGUGAAAACUGAACACAGCUAAGGAAGUCCCAGUGUUGUCAUGUUACUUCCAUUUUUAAAGGCACGUGAGGUGGUUGAAUGCCCUACUUAGUACAAGGGGGUUUGAGGUUUGACGAUACCACUGGUAAAGCAAAGGCAGCAACUCUGUUUACAGUGGACUUGCCCCAGAAGAGUCAUUGAAGGAAAUGGUUCAGAUUGGUCAUUAGGCAAAUUGCUUCUAAUAUAGUUCUAAACACUGCAAACUAGGCAAAUCUGAACUGUUGUGUUACUUCAGGUGGACAAAAUCCAAGAGUAUUUUCACAGUGAAGCUAAAUAUAAAAUCAGUUAUCACUGGCUGUGAAACACCUACACAUCUUGGAGGCUUCUGAUCUUUUAGAAUGGUCAUGGGAGCUUUUCUUUGCAACAUGCCUGAUAAUUACUUAAAUAAUCUGGCUGAGGCCAUAAGGCUGAACACUAGCAUGUACUGUGGACCAUUUGACUCAGAAAAGAAGUUCUAUUCCUUCACUGGUCACUGGUUUGAUCACUGGAAACCACUGUUUUGGUUUGUUUUCACCAACUCAUGUCAGAAGCACAAAAGGAAUUAGUGAAUGAGUUCUCUAAAUUGCACACAGUCACCAAUACCAGGAGCUGCUCAUGAGAGCGUGGGAGUUCCCAAGAGGUCCUUCUGGCAUCUGCAGGGCAUAUACAUCUGGCAACAAGAACUAAACCAAAUUCCUCUCCCCAAGUAUUCUAAGAUCAACAAGAGAAGGAUGGGUACACAUCCUAAUGUUCUUCCUCGCAAGACUCUACUGUAGCUUAAUUUUUUCUUGCCAUCAUGUAGAUUAUUUCUGCAAAGGAAAACAAGAAAGAAAGGAAAAAUAAAAGGUUUCUCCAAGGAAAUGCAUGUAAUUUUCAUAGCAGAAUAAGUCCUUGAGUCAUGCAAAGGACAUCACUGUGCAAAUGCUAAAGCAGCGUGAGCAUAUUUGCCGGCCCUACAAGCUAAAAGGUUUCAUAUCUAGCAACGUUUAUGUGCAUUUUAAAAGGUAAAAAUAUGAGUUCUUACAGAAACAAACAUUUGUAAUUACAUUUGUAUACAUAUAAAAUAAGUGUUGCUCUUGGCUGGAAAAGAUAAAGGCUUGUAUGUUAAAUUGAAAAGCCCUAUAGCGCAGGAUAUAUUUCCAGAAUGAAAAAGAAAAUUUCAUUCCAUUAGAGUGUAUUGUCAUAGUUUGUCCAUAGUUAAAAAAAAAAGAAGAAUGGACAAAACCCACUGUUAAUUCUAAAGAUUUCUUAUUGGAACAAAUAAAUGUAGUCUGAGCAAGAACUGAGAAGAGAAAUUUGAUUGGAACCUGUUUGCUGUUCUACCUUUGUUUGCUGUUUUGUUGUUGUUGUUUUUCUGUUUGGCAAUUCACUACCAGAUAAUUCAUCUAUAGGUUUAACUAUGUGCACAAAAUGUUGGGUAGAGCUGAAUGAAUUUAUGCUUUUUAUAACCACCUUUUCAUCCAAAACAAGGCAUCAUGAAACCACUAGUGUGGUACACCACUGUUUUGAAGCUGAAGCUGGAAGUCAGUGAGAUAGCUAUCCACCUUCCUGACAAAUAGUACAUUGUUAUUAUGAGCAUUUAUAGAAAUGGGACAACAGUAAUAUGGCACUUGAACACCAAAACAGUGGACAUGGAGGGAUGAUUUUCUAACAGAAUAUCAGUGAAGGAUUUGGGUUUGGGAACUUAACUCGUGACAAGAUAAAUAUUAUGUCAGAACCCAGGACAGAUUGUAUACAGAAUUGACUUCAUAACAAGACACACCUCUACAAUCACUGUUGUUGAUCAAACGUUACACAUAUGCAUAUGUAUACCCCAUAUGUACAUACAGUAAGUGCCCAGGGCAUUAUAAACAUUUUUCUUCUAACCCCGUUGUGUCUCCCUGCGUGUUUUCCACGCUGGCCG
rnacentral:lncRNA from 1 species